rnacentral:lncRNA from 1 species
GAGCAUAUUGGUGUGUGCCAAAUAUGACCACACCUUCCUCAAUCAAAGAAGGGUUGCCUCCAUCUAGAGAAGCCAUCAUUGCACCUCCAUAACUUUCACCAGAUAGUAGUGGCACAGCACAUAUUGUAGUGCUAUUGUUUUCCGUUAGUAUUUCCUGAUUAAAUGUAUUAAAGUAUAUUAUUCAAUCUAGCCAUUCACGU